rnacentral:lncRNA from 1 species
AACGACAACUAAAACUCACACUACAAUAACUUAAGAAAAAACAUAAAAAAUAAAUCAACACUAGCACCAUCAUAACACCUAACAGUCUUUAAAAACGAGAAAAUAUACCAAUAAUCGGGAGUUACCUCUACUACCUAUAGUCCGCCAUCCGGUACUCUCCACUUCUGCAUCAUACCACACUUAUCGCUGCUGUCUCGUCCACCAAACGAUAAGAUCAAGACCCGAAAACUUCAUAACUCAACAAAGAGAACUGCUGCUCGAUCCACACACCUUGGAUACAUAAAUGCUCUACAAUCUAAGACAGAAACUCACUCAAACACCAUGAAAAUAAGGCAUUUCCAACCGAAUCUCUCCAUGAACACUCAUGGGAAAAAAACCAAACGGCAAGCAACCAAUAAAGACAUUAUCCGUAGAAGUCAGACUGGUAAGUCACAACCAUCAAAAUGCUUACUCCCUCAGUCCAUAUCGAUCAAGACUCACAAACCCAAAUCCACAACAGCCUUAUCAAAAUGCAAAUUACCGUAACAAGAGAUGCAAAAAACAUGCUUGAAACAAAUGCUACUAUGACAAGACACCGUCAACCGUGGAAAGCACCCACAAAAAUUUGAAGGAGAAAAC